CCUACGGGACGCAGCAGUGGGGAAUAUUGCACAACGGGGGAAACCCCGAUGCAGCAACGCCGCGUGGGUGAAGGAGCGUUUCGGCGCGUAAAGCCCUGUCAGCGGGGAAGAAGAAAGACGGUACCCGACCAAGAAGCCCCGGCUAACUACGUGCCAGCAGCCGCGGUAAUACGUAGGGGGCGAGCGUUAUCCGGAAUUACUGGGUGUAAAGGGGGCGUAGACGGCGAGGUAAGCCUGAAGUGGACGCCCGCGGCCCAACCGCGGACCUGCUUUGGGAACUGUUUUGCUGGCGUCU
rnacentral:rRNA from 1 species